rnacentral:rRNA from 1 species
UACGUAGGGGGCAAGCGUUGUCCGGAUUUAUUGGGCGUAAAGAGCGUGUAGGCGGUUAGGUAGGUCCGUUGUGAAAACUCGAGGCUCAACCUCGAGACGCCGAUGGAAACCAUCUGACUAGAGUCCGGAAGAGGAGAGUGGAAUUCCUGGUGUAGCGGUGAAAUGCGCAGAUAUCAGGAGGAACGCCGGUGGCGAAGGCGGAUCUCUGGGCCAUUACUGACGCUGAGGAGCGAAAGCGUGGGGAGCGAACAGG